rnacentral:rRNA from 1 species
CCUACGGGAGGCAGCAGUGGGGAAUUUUGGACAAUGGGCGCAAGCCUGAUCCAGCAAUGCCGCGUGCAGGAUGAAGGCCUUCGGGUUGUAAACUGCUUUUGUACGGAACGAAACGGCGAGCUCUAAUAAAGUUCGCUAAUGACGGUACCGUAAGAAUAAGCACCGGCUAACUACGUGCCAGCAGCCGCGGUAAUACGUAGGGUGCAAGCGUUAAUCGGAAUUACUGGGCGUAAAGCGUGCGCAGGCGGUGAUGUAAGACAGAUGUGAAAUCCCCGGGCUCAACCUGGGACCUGCAUUUGUGACUGCAUCGCUAGAGUACGGUAGAGGGGGAUGGAAUUCCGCGUGUAGCAGUGAAAUGCGUAGAUAUGCGGAGGAACACCGAUGGCGAAGGCAAUCCCCUGGACCUGUACUGACGCUCAUGCACGAAAGCGUGGGGAGCAAACAGGAUUAGAUACCCUGGUAGUCCACGCCCUAAACGAUGUCAACUGGUUGUUGGGUCUUCACUGACUCAGUAACGAAGCUAACGCGUGAAGUUGACCGCCUGGGGAGUACGGCCGCAAGGUUGAAACGUCAAAGGAAUUGACGGCNGAGAGNGCGAGGACGACGACGAGGGAGGAG